UGGGGAAUAUUGGGCAAUGGGCGCAAGCCUGACCCAGCAACGCCGCGUGAAGGAAGAAGGCUUUCGGGUUGUAAACUUCUUUUAAGAGGGAAGAGCAGAAGACGGUACCUCUUGAAUAAGCCACGGCUAACUACGUGCCAGCAGCCGCGGUAAUACGUAGGUGGCAAGCGUUGUCCGGAUUUACUGGGUGUAAAGGGCGUGCAGCCGGGAGUGCAAGUCAGAUGUGAAAUCCCGCGGCUCAACCGCGGAACUGCAUUUGAAACUGUGCUUCUUGAGUGCUGGAGAGGCAGACGGAAUUCCUAG
rnacentral:rRNA from 1 species